CUUUGUAAAUUUACUCGACACACUGAACACGGAACCUCUCGCUCCAGUGAGUACCGAUGAAAUCGCGAUACGAAAGAAAUUCGACAAAUUCGCAGAGUGAGUUUACUUUACAAUUGUCGUUAUUAAUCGCAACAUCAUUAACAUUCAUACCAUUUUUACGCAUCGUUCUUACGUUUUAGCAAGAUUGCAGCAAGCUUGGUCAAGGAUCUGAUGAUCACCAGCCACAAAUAUUUUCAUCGAUCAGUUAAUUAGUUGAAGAAGUUAUUCUGCAAUGUUGACGAAACAACAGAACCCCGUUUCAAAAUAAUUCGACGCUUACACAGAAGCAUUUAUGCCCCAUGCACUACUGUUAACACAUUAUCUAUCGUUUUAUUUAAAAAAAGAGUAUAACUUGGAAAAUAACAUUCUACUUUAAUAGGUAUACAGGGUGUUUCUUAAUAUGUGGGCGCGUUUUGGAGAGUAAGGUGCUGACACCAGUACGAAUCGAAAAGUCCUUUAUCAAUUUGAGUACUGCGGAUUUGUUGACGAGAUAUAAGCAGAUGAAAUUUGCAAGUGUAACUUUCGGCGAGCGACGUUUAAACUCGAUCAAUGGUACUGGGACACUAGUGCAGGUGUUACGAGGACACUGACUCAAUCUCUGUAAGCUAGAUGGCAAUGACCGCGUCCUUGCUGGCUUAAACUAUUUUGCGGGCUUCUAGAUCAUUUCCUAACAGUUUGCUUAUACCUUGAUAACGAAACUACAGUUCGAAAAUUGGACAAACAAUUUUUCGAUUCGUACUGAAGUCAGCACCUUAUCUUCCAAAAAGUGCCCAGAUAUAAAGGAACACUCUGUAUAUGCAUAUAGACUGAUAUUACCUCGUGCAGACUAUAACAAAGUAAAUGAAAAGCUUAAUUGCUUUUUCAAAUUGAUCAUUAUAAGUAAACAACCGACAACAUAAUAAAUAGGUUACAGUAGGUAGACACUGAAAUUAACACUAAAUGUAACAGAACUUUACAUAUACCUUUCCAAUCAUAACCAGUCAGUUGCUUGGUCGUGGUAUGUUUAGUGUCGAAGAGUUUAUAAAUAAGCUGCCGAUAGAUAAAGUGUUAAUAGCAAAACCAAAGUACAAAUACCCAUCAAAAUUUAAUACUAAUGUUAUGCUUGGCAGGUUGAACGGGAUUACCCUCGCAACUGCCGUAUUAAGUCUUUUAAUAGCCAUGUUUGGGACGGCUUUGAUCGACGAUAAUCCAAGGAAAUUAGCGUAUCGAAUAUGGUUACCUUAUAAUUAUUCCUCUCCUGUGGUGUAUACCGUUACAUUCGUUUGGGAAGCUGUAGGCAUGAUCAUGGCCGCGUUUAUAAACGUUGGCAGCGAUAGUCUUUUCAGCGGUCUGUUGAUCCACAUUUACUGCCUGUUUGAGAUAUUCGAACACCGCUUGAAGAAGGGAGUUAAUGAACCAGGGACGUAUUCCUUGAAGGAGUGCGUCCGUCUUCAUAAGCACAUUUACAAAUUCGCUGAGAUGGUGAACGAAGAAUUUAAAACAAUAAUGAUGAUGCAGUUUUUGGUGAGCACAUUGGCUCUGUGCUCUGAGCUUUAUCGUUUGACACAAAGGAAAGUGGAUUCACAAUAUAUUGAGAUCGUAACCUACGCGACAUGUGUUGUGAUGCAAUUACUAUUUUUCUGUUGGUAUGGGAACGAAGUUCGGCUGAAGAGUCUGGAGAUUUCUGACAUGAUAUAUGAAAGUAACUGGAUGUCGUUGGAUCCUGACGCUAAGAAGAUCCUUCUGACAAUUAUGAUACGUUCGACGUCUCCCAUCGAAUUUUCAAGCGCUCAAAUCUUCUCGAUGAACCUUAAUUCUUUUAUGACAGUUAGUACGAACUAAUUAUGAUUUCAACUGCUAUUGACGUUGAGUAGGCCAGCCUUUUAAAUAUGAGAGAUAAUGAAGAUGGCUUACUCGGCGUACAACAUGCUUCAUCGAUAGAAAUCAUAUGACUAACUUAAAGAUUUGAAGCUCAAAAAAGAUACGAGUGGAAAGAAUGGGAUGAAUGGGAAAGAAAGUAAAAUCAUAGACGCUUUGCAACUGCCUUGGAGUAUGUAUAGUUGAAUACUAGGUACGGGAAAGAAUAAAUGUUAUUGGAAACUGUUAACACUGUAAUGUUAUUAUAUAAUUUGCCUAAGAUACAAUCACUUCCUACGUCGUUUCUGAGAUGAAAUAAAAAUCUACAAUCAAUGUUAAAUUCAUAUAAUGACUGUAAGAACCCUGAAACGACGACGUUGACUUGGGCUCUUUAAACACCUAUAUUCCCCUUUCUAUAGAAAUAUUUACCGUAUGUGAUUUUACACAAAAUACUACUUGGUACCAGAUUUUAGAAUACUAAUAAGAAGACAUAGUGUGACGUAGAACUACGAAUACUGAGAUGUGUAUUGUUUCUCACAAAAAUAUUAAUACGUAAGUAGUGUCGUCAAGUCCUCGAGUAUUACGAUAAACAUAUAGCUUGCGAAACUGAAGGGAAACCAACUGCAAAGGGGUUAUUCUUUUGAAGGCAAACAAGAAACGUCGAUAACCUGAGGUCUUCGGUGUUUUCAGUGAUAUCUGAGCCUUCGUUCAGUUGAGUCAGGAUAGCGAAAACCAAAUAAUUCUCCUGUUCGUAUUUUCACAAAUUACAACUCACUCUGUACAGUUUCCUUGUUCUACAGUAAUUUCAAGUAAUAAUAGCAGUGGUUUACAGUGCGAGCUAGUUGUGAUCUGUGUGACAGACAACUUGAUUUCUGUGCAGAUUUUUGCCAAUGUGUGCAAAAAAAUUAUGAAUAAUUUUUCUGCAAUAAAUAAUAGAUAUUUUACGACAUCGUGGUUAUGAUUUUCAGUUUGUGUAGCUGUUUACGAUCGUCUUCUUGGACCUCUCGGCGUACGACAUUUUUAACCGACUUCUAAAAGGAGGAGGUUACUCAAUUCGACAUGUAUACUUUUUCUUUUGUAUGUAUGUUAUUAUAUGUUCGGAAACUUCGUCUCAAAUUUCGUGUGCUCCGCCUUACUAGCUAAUCAGUGAAAUCGGGGGGUUUUCGACGGUGUCCGUAGUGCUUUUGACAUCGGAGGAAUGAAACAAGUAAGUGUGCAUCGGAGUGUCUUUCUCGCGUGUGAGUGCAGCCACGUGCGACCGCGCGUUCAGCUGACAGGGAUUUAAACAGCCCGCGCCGGAAAUCCACCUGUAAAUUUCAACCGCUUAUACAUAUCUCAACAACGAAGCCUCAGAUCACAAAAUGGUAAGAAAUUUUUCGAUUUGUACUGGUAUGAAGACUUGAUUUUGAACAAGUGUUCUACAUAUUUGUUAACAUCCUGUACAUGCACAUGUUUCCUUGAAAAUGCGUAAGUAAAUAAUUAGAGACUGCCAUUUCGUUAAUUCUCUUAAAAAAAAAGAAAGGGCUUCGAUUAAUAAAAUUUGUUUCAAAUAAAGUUAGAGCAUUGUAUAGUGACUUAGUAUUAUUUGUUUUAUAAAAUAUUUAAAAUUGCUGUACACAAAAAAUUAUAUUAAAUACCCAUUUCUUCACGCCGCAGCUUAGAUCUAAACCCCUAAAUUCCGAAGGUACGAUUAAAGAGAAUGGGGCAAACAAGGAAAAAAAUGAAAUCAUAUACGUUCUUCAUUGUCUUGAAGUAUGUGUUGUUCAAUACUAAGUGCGAAUAAGGAUAAAUUAUAUUACAAUCGGUUAAUUUUGUAAUGUUAGUUUAUAACUUGCCUUCGAUGCAAUGAUUUCCUAUGUCGUUUCUGAACAGAAGUAAAAGUCUGCGAAUACCGGUAAGCGCAUACAAAAAAUGACUGUAGGAACUCUAAAACGAGAACAGUGUAUCUCGCGUUGUUUAAGUAUUUAUUUUCCAUUUUCCGUAGAAACAUUCGCCAUAUGUGAUUCUAUGCAAAAUGUUACUUUGUACCAGAUUUUACAAUGCAAAUCAUAGUACAUAGAAUAAGGUAGAACUACGGAUCGCAAGAAGUAUAUUUUUUCUCACAAAAUAUAAAUACGUAAGUAGUGUCGUCGCGUUCUCCAUCACUACGAUAAACGCAUAGCUCGCGAACCGGAAGGGAAACCAACUGCAUUACUAUACGUCCUACACGGUUCUCCAUUUAUUUUUAAAAUGCAUUAGAAACAAAUACGAAGAUUUAUAAACAAAAUGUAUACAGAUUUGGAUAUACUAUAAAUCAUUCAUAAAAUUUCACAAAUAUUUAAUGCCAAUAUGUGUACUUGCCAAGUCAAAAAAAAAAACAAUGAAAUUAACCAACGCAAGUGGGUUUAAAAUUCCUAAAUCCUAAAUAUCUGUUUUUUUUUUUUUACAAUUGAUGAAGACAGCUUAUUCGGCUUAUAAUG